rnacentral:rRNA from 1 species
AAUGAACGCUGGCGGCGCGCCUAAUACAUGCAAGUCGAGCGAGAAGACGUAGCAAUACGUUUGUAAAGCGGCGAACGGGUGAGGAAUACAUGGGUAACCUACCCUCGAGUGGGGAAUAACUAGCCGAAAGGUUAGCUAAUACCGCGUACGCUCCUUGGACUUCGGUUCAGGGAGGAAAGCGAUACCGUGGGUAUCGCGCUCUUGGUUGGGCUCAUGUCCUAUCAGCUUGUUGGUGAGGUAACGGCUCACCAAGGCUUCGACGGGUAGCUGGUCUGAGAGGACGAUCAGCCACACUGGCACUGCGACACGGGCCAGACUCCUACGGGAGGCAGCAGUAAGGAAUAUUGCGCAAUGGGCGAAAGCCUGACGCAGCGACGCCGCGUGGGGGAUG